rnacentral:rRNA from 1 species
AGCGAACGUUUGCGGCGGGCCUAACACAUGCAAGUCGAACGGGCAGUCCCUUCGGGGGCUGUCAGUGGCGCACGGGUGCGUAACACGUAGGUAAUCAACCCUCGGGUUCGGGAUAACACUUCGAAAGGGGUGCUAAUACCGGAUGCGACGAGCGUCUCCUCGGAGAUGCACGGGAAAGAUCCGCAAGGGUCGCCCGAGGACGAGCCUGCGGCCCAUCAGCUUGUUGGUGAGGUAAUGGCUCACCAAGGCUAAGACGGGUAGCUGGUCUGAGAGGAUGAUCAGUCACACUGGAACUGAGACACGGUCCAGACUCCUACGGGAGGCAGCAGUGGGGAAUAUUGCGCAAUGGGCGAAAGCCUGACGCAGCCACGCCGCGUGAGCGAUGAAGGCCUUGGGUCGU